GAUGAACGCUGGCGGCGUGCCUAAUACAUGCAAGUCGAGCGAACAGAUGAGGAGCUUGCUCCUCUGACGUUAGCGGCGGACGGGUGAGUAACACGUGGAUAACCUACCUAUAAGACUGGGAUAACUUCGGGAAACCGGAGCUAAUACCGGAUAAUAUAUUGAACCGCAUGGUUCAAUAGUGAAAGACGGUUUUGCUGUCACUUAUAGAUGGAUCCGCGCCGCAUUAGCUAGUUGGUAAGGUAACGGCUUACCAAGGCAACGAUGCGUAGCCGACCUGAGAGGGUGAUCGGCCACACUGGAACUGAGCCACGGUCCAGGCUCCUACGGGAGGCAGCAGUAGGGAAUCUUCCGCAAUGGGCGAAAGCCUGACGGAGCAACGCCGCGUGAGUGAUGAAGGUCUUCGGAUCGUAAAACUCUGUUAUUAGGGAAGAACAAAUGUGUAAGUAACUAUGCACGUCUUGACGGUACCUAAUCAGAAAGCCACGGCUAACUACGUG
rnacentral:rRNA from 1 species